GAUCACAACCACCCACAUGACCAGGAAGAAGAGGGGCAGUGACUCGGAGCAGAAGCUCCUCAGACGCUCCCUGACUUGCUCCACCCACUGACACACAGCCUGAGGAGAGCAGAGAACACCUGUCAGCCUGCUGCAGUUCUCAGUUUCAACACUGGACGAGGAGAAGCAGCAGCAGCAGCAGCUGCGGCUCCAUAAGCAGCUCCAUAAGCUGUCGGACCUUUUUUUUUUGUCCGGACCAGCUGACCCACAUCAACACUUAUAUAUCCAUCCAGAAAAUCCAACUGCAGAUGGUCGAUUUCAGAACAAAAGCAGACUGAGAACCAGAAUGACUGAUAGCCAUCUGUGACAUGUCAGCCAUCCUUCAAUCCAAAGGACAGCUUCACUGAGUGCAACGUUCUUCACAGAGGGUUCCUGGUGAAGAGUGCAGGGAGUGAAGGACACUCACAGAGAAGAGCCUGACAGCUGAACCUGG